rnacentral:lncRNA from 1 species
AUUUUAUAACAUUCUCCGCUUCACCUGUUUCUGACUAAAAUGGUUUGGGAUGGUGUCACUGAGAAACCUGAUAUCCCUUAAAGCUGGGAAAACAAUACAUUCUCCUAGACUGGAGUGUGUGAGUAAAUGAGAUGAACUUUAAAUUUCUUCUGGAACCUAAAGCUGUAUCUAGAAUUAUGCUGUUGCAGAUACAAAACUGUUUAUGUCCUGAAAGAAAUUAUGAUUGUGUCAUGGUACUAAAGAAGCUGGUGUGAAAGAUACCAGCCAGUGGCCUGUUUGGGUAUUUUAUUUAUUUAGUAUCAAGUGCCUAAAUAUUGCAAAAUAUCCUUAUCUGCUUCUGCAUCUAUAUCUGUAUCUGUUGCCAACCUAAAAUGUCUUACAGAGAAAGCAUCGUCUGAGUGGCUUGGGUUGCAGUUUGAAAGACAAUUAGCAGUUUCUUUGGAGCCAAGAAGAUUUCAAAGAAAAUAAUGGCUCCUAAUACUCACAUGUGGUCUCCCACACAUAUUUUUUCCUUUAUCAGCUAAGUACACGAUCACUGCCAGUGAAAAUGCUCUUUGCUGCCAAGAGAUUGAGAAGUUUUGAAAUGCAAAUGAACGAGCUUAAGCACAUAUUACACGUAGAAAUGGUGGAAAUUCGCUUUCCUGGGUCUUGGAAUAGUUCCUCCUUGGGGAAAAAUCUAGCUUGGACAUUAGCUUGAUGUAUUCAAAAUGGAGUGUUGGCGUUGGGCAGGUUCGAAAACAUCAUUAUGUUGUAACCCCAACACCAGACUCGACAGGAACUGUAUAUGGCUUUGGAGAAUGAAGUUCAAUAUAUGAAUUAUCCAUAGAGACCAGUAGGCCUAUUGCAAAUCCCUGCGGUGGAGUGCUAGGAGCCAGAGGUGCUGAAUUCUCCUGCAGUUCUAUAAAUGAACUAAGCCACACUUACUGACUCUGUUACUGAAAACCAGUUGCCUAAACAUUUUGUGUCUGUUUCAUUAUUUGUAAAGUGAGAAAUGUACUUACUGAACAGGGUCAUCACAGGAGACAAAGAUGAUUGUGAAAGAGCCUUGUAAAGGGUACAUCUGAACCCCAAAUUAUCAAUAAGUGCUCAUUGGCUGUGCCUCACAAGAGCUCAGAGAUCACUGAGUCUAGUUCAAUGCACUUAAAUUACGACAUGGAAAUGGAGGCACCAAGAGGUGAGUAUCCUAUCCAGAGUCACACAGCUCUACAGAGAUAUGGAAGCAAUAUCAUAAAAUUCAAUCAUGUCAUAUUUCAUUUCCAUGAAAAUAAACUAAAAAAAAACUUGGAAGAUGAGAACUUUGGAUAAUUUGAGUCUGAAGUACUUCAUACUACUUUAAGUUACCUCCUAUUGGGGGCAUUAUAAAUGGGUAAGCAGAGAACAUCAUGGAAAGACAUGGAGCUUAGUAUAUGCAAAUGUUGAGUUACUCAGUGUAAUGUGUGAAAAAGGAGUUUCAUAAGUUUCGGUCAGGGAAGAAGGCAGGGUCAAAAUUUCUGCUUGAGAGUUUGGGAGCUUGGGGAGACUUUAAACAGGGAGCAACACAGCACAUUAGAUUCCUUUGGUUACACUAAGGACAAUGGUUUUGAAGGGGACCAGGAUGAAGAAAAGGAAGGUAGAACGACCAUUCCUCAAUGAUGAGGAAUCCAUUGCUGUAAUCUAUGCGAGAGGUUAUACAGACCUGCGUGGCAUCAUUCAUUGUCUGAAUGGAGAAGAUGAGAUGAACUAUUUAGAAAGUAAACAUUUAGAAAGUAAACAUUAGCAUUUAUGGGACUAAUUUGAUGUAGGUGAUAAGGGUAUAGGACACCAGGAAGAUUUUCAGAUUUCUAGAUGGGAGGGGGAUUUAUAGAAGUGCGUUAAAGUGGAAUAUGGGAGGAAAAAGAGACUUAGAAAAACAGGUGUGAAGUUUUGAAAUGAAGUUUGUGAUAUUCUAGUACAAUACCCAAGUGAAGCUGCUUGCCACUUGGAAGUUGCAUAUGAGUCUGGAACAGGGCAAGAAGUCUCAAAUGGAAAGAAAAAUCUGGAAAUCACUAAUAUAUCCAUGGGUUGUUGAAACCAGGAGAGAGGGUGGGAAUGCCCUUUGAGAAUACAGGAUGAUGGACUCUGAAAGCACUGGUACUUGUUAGACUCUUGUUCUUCUUCAAGUAAGUGUGGGAGACACUGCAAGGAGAGGUUAGUGGGACAAACUGGUGCAGCCUUUUAAGGGGAUUUGUUAUACUCACAAAAGAAGCCCAGUGUGAGGGAUACUUUUUUUUUUUUAAAAAAAUGAAGGGUUGGGAACCUGAUCCCAGGUUUAAUAAAUCUGGGAAAGUGGCCAAGGUCCCUGAAUUUUAAAGACUUUAAAGAGUCUCCGAGAAUGUGUCCCAGGUCACUGAAUUUUAAAGAAGCCCUCCAGGUGAGAACCAAUGCUCUGAGAGUUGCAAACCAGGGUUUUGUUUGUCAGUGCAACAUUUUAGCUGGCUCUAGGUACAGAGCCUUCAGAUGUGGGUAUAAGGGGAGAUUUUCAAAAAGUUCCACAUACUGAGUGAUCUUUUUCUAAAACUGAGAGGCCUCCCAGACUCAUCACAAGCCAGAAAAGUAGCCGUUGCUAUUUGUUUUCCAUCAAAUGCUGAGAGCUGCCACUCUCAUUCUUAGCUCAUUUGAAGCAACAGGGAUUUCCUCUUGAGAGCAGGAGACAGAAUUCAUUACGACAAAGCAUGGUUUUAGAGUAAAGUGUGAAGUGUGUAGCCAUGUCUAUAAAAGGGAUAAAGAGCCAGGACACCAUGAUUUUGCUGUGGGGUUAGCAUUGCUUACUCGCUUAGUGAUCUGGGCCAAUCACUGAAUCUCUCUGAGCCUUAAUUUCCUCAUCUGUAGAAGGGGAAAAUAGUACUUAUCUCAUUAUUUUGUGGUGUAGACUAAAUGAGAUCAGAUAUCGGAGGUGCUUAUCCUCUGGAAAGCACCUAAUAAUAAGAUUAGCUACAAUUAAUACGUGUGUUAAGAAAUGUGGGACCCACAGGCUCUGAAUCUCCCGGUGAGUAGUUGGAGGAGAUGGCCAAAGGCUCUGAAAUCCUUUCAGGUCCACGGAUUCCUAGGGGAGGGUAUGAUCUGGGCAAAGAUGAUUACAUUAUUUUCUUUCUUACACUUAUUUUCCUAGAAGAUAUUUCUCUAGGAAGAUGAGAGCCUUUGUAAUUUUCAACCCUUAGAAAUCAAUUAUUCCUGAGUUAUUUUUGCAUUUAUGAAAAGUGCCAAAUUAAUUUCGACUGAAUUUUCUUUUCUGUGAUCAAUGAGGAGGUCAGCUGGUAGACAUGACGAGAUUCUAACAACACCGGGUAUUGCCCCUCGGAGUUUUAAUUGCCUUAAUUCUCUGUAAUUCAUUUCUGAGAACUAGCAUCUUUUCAUACAGUCUUAAAAAUCUCAGCUUCUUAAUAUAUGCAUGAAUGGCAAUACGCUAAUAUGCAAUUCAAGUAGCAGGGUUUACAUUUUAUAAUUCUGCAUGGAAAAAAGGCUUGAAAUCUGGAAGCCCUGGUCCCAAAUGUUCUUCAUUCCCACAACACACAAAGAGACAAAACCUCAGAACAGAGGUGGAAUCAUGAUAUCCUUCUCUCAUUCAUUAUUUACAAUAUAUCUGCCUCAGUACCUAGAUUUCCUUGCACACCUUAGGAAGUCAUGGGGAGAUAGAUUUGAACUAGAGUCUAGAGGUAAGUGAUGCCAUAUUCCAUUACCUGAGUCACUAUCUCCCCAAUACCUUCCCCUCCCUCUUUUUUCCCCCAAAAGAGCACAUCUUUGGAAAUUGAGAAUAUUCAGUGAACAGGACUCAUAAAUCAAAUCAUUAUCAUUAAUAAUCAAAGUGAGACAUUGUGAGAAAUAGCAAAUUAAUCACAACUGGCAGGUGAAGCUACUUCCAGCCUCUGCUUUCUGCAUACUAAAGGGAGCAGAAUUUUCCCCAGUGGGUUUUUAUUUUUCUUAAGUUUAUUUUCUUAGUGAACACUGCACUCUUUGGUUGACUGGGAAUUAUGUCCAAACCCAGGUUUCCCUACUACUAAUAUGACUAAUUCUGUUUAAUAAAAUUUGAUUUUCAGAACCAUUUUUGUUCCAUAAAUAAGAUAUAUUAUGAUUUGGUGUACUUUAUUAGUAUACCAUUGCAUAUUUGAAAUUGAAGACAUUUUUCUAGAGGAGGAAAAUAACUAAUGGUAUCACAAAUUUGGAUUAGAUGUAAUUAUUUAUUUUCCGUGUCUUGGGUCAUACUUAUGUGACAGCCUGUCAUCUUAGUUUAAAUGCCUUUUUGGUAAAAAUGGGAGACAAGCCUAAAUAUAAUAUUUUCUACUGUUAUGAUAGUUUUCAAAGCAUGAUUAAUAAUAAUUCAUGAAUUUUGAGAACGUCUUAUUUCUCCAGAAAAGAAAUAAAUACUUCUUUUCCAUCAUGUUUACCUUCUCAGCCUCCCUGUGAAGUAAGAACUACUUUCUUAAAUCGAGAGACAGUGAGUCAAAAACAGUUAAAUUUUUACCAUUUCACACAGCAAUUCUGGGUUUAAAUUUAAAAUAGACUCGAAUUUCCUGACCCAGCAUUAGACAAUGUUGUCAAAAUUUUCACUUCUUAGUGACUUUUGAAAUGACAUGCAAAUUUUUAAAAACAGAGGAAAAUAAGUACUAAUAUCUGGAUUGUAUUUUUAUUUCUAUAAUGUAUUAAAAUGUGCUAAGUGAUUAAAAAUACAUGAGCUAUUUCAGAAGGUACAGAAAUGUUUCGAACUCCAUAUUUAAAGGAAAGGCAAACAAAAUGUGGGGGAUUAGAAGGAAACAAAAAUAAAAUGCAAAGUGUAUUUAAUAUUGAGAAACAAAGUGUUUCAGUAAGGCCUAUGUGCUUACGAGAGUCUGUGCUUUUGCUCAGCAUAACUUCACUAAGAAAUGGGAGAAGAGGGGACUGAGGCUGUCACUGUCCUUUACCCAGAAUCAUUUUUCCCUUCUCUGACUGUUACCAAUUACCCAAAGCUCAAUUCAAUAAUCCUCAUCAGUACUCUAGGAGUUUAACUAGAAAGCAACAUUAAGGUUUAAAUAUUGCAGUUUUGUGAAUGUAGGAUUGUGAAAAUCUUUCUAGCAGAUUCCCGGAUUAUUCAGGAGUGUCAGGGUCUAUUUCUUUCAUAUUACUUAUAUAUGGGUUUUUCUUUCCUUUGAAAGCAUCUCUGUUUGGUAAAAAGCAAAAUUAAAGUGACCGUAUGUUGCAUAUUGUAUUGAAGAUGGACGAGGAAAGUGGUUUAAAAAUAGAUAAAUGCAUUUUCUUUCUUUUAACAUUACACAUACUGGUUACUCUUUCCUGUCUAUUUUCUAGACAUUUUUUCAGUUUAUGUUUGCAAGAUGAUUUGUCAUUCUCCUUGAAUUUCUUUCUCUACUAAUCUUCUGCAGGGACAGUUAGUCACCUGACGUGAUGAGAUGGUUCCUGGGUCUGAUGAGUUUUUCGCUGGUGGACGUAGCCCUGCUCUUGAACACACGGAUGUCCUUCAAGCCUGAAGGGAUGAAAUCCCAUCUCCCUAAUGAGGGAGACAAUAGGUUUCUCAGAAAAUGGGAUAGUUUCUUUUCUUUUUUUUUCUUUUCUUUGUUUUCUUUCUUUCUUUUCUUUUCUUUUUUUUUUUUUUUUUUGAGAUAGAGUCACUCUCUGUCACUCAGGCUGGAGUGCGUGGCACAAUCUAGGCUCCCUGCAGCCUCGGCCUCCCAGGUUCCAGCGAUUCUCCUGCCUCAGCCUCCUGAGUAGCUGGGAUUACAGGCACGCACACCAUAGUUUUCUAUUUGAAUGAUUUGUUAUGUUGGUUAUCUGUGACAAAGUCAUUUGCCCCUUUUGGGAGGGAAUACAUAACUAUAAUAAUUCAAUUCUGAACUUGAAGAAAACAGAAAGCAAAGUGGCAUAAAAUUGCCCUUUUUGUUGUAAUUUUUUUUUAAAUAUUUGAGACAACGUAUUUGAAGGCACGAUGUUCCCCUUUCUUCUGAGUUGGGGAUAUUCCGUAAGUGAGUGAUGAAUAAUACACUAUGUUCCAUAACGUCUCUGUGUUUAAUUGUCCAGAGCACCAUGUGUAUACUCACUUGAACCUGGAGAAUUGUUCAUGUGAUUGGAAACCCAAAGAAAACCACUUCCUGGCUGUUGAUACAGGGGCCAAAAAGUUGUAAUACCUAAAGAUCACAUAAGUAGGUUUCUUGAUUGUUGUAUAUUUAUUUUGUAUCAUUCCUGACUUGUAAAUAAGGAAAUAAGUCAUUAAGAAAUUACUAAAUUAGGUUGCAAACCAUGGGCAGGAAAGAAGUCAAACAGAAUGCCUGACACAGUCAAUCAGCUAAGUCUAAUUUUCCUUCCCCAUUUCUUUUUCUUUUUUUCCUCUCCUGUUGCUUUUCUUCUUCUUUCCCUUUCAGGCAUCUCCUCCAGUUUUAUUUUCUGUAACUCACAGAGUGCUGCAGAAUAAUGUUAGGGCUUUGCAGUUUAUUCCUUGCGAUUUAACUGCAUAAAUAUAAAAAGUGCCUGAGCAAUAAUGCACGUUGGGUUAUUCAAUAACACAAGGAAUGUAAAGCGAUUUCAUAUCUCCUUGAAUCAGGAACAUUAAUUAAUCAUAUGAUGAGAAUGCAACGUUUUAUUUACCAGGGCAAGAGGCUGCCAAGAUCUUUCUGAGUUUAAUAAUUGCACACUCUGUGGAGGGAGGAAAAAUUAAUUUAGUUAUUAAAUUGGAGGGUGCUUUUUUUCUAUCAUGGUGAUGCUGGAAAGUAGCCAGGCCAUAAUGUUAAUGUUACGAGAGUUGAGAUGUGGAUGACUUUCACUAAAAGCUUUCUCCACCUUUACUAAAAUAAAAAAAGAAAAAAGAAUAGUGUUGGGAAUGGUGCACAAAAUUUGUUUUUCGUGAGUGUAGAUAAUAAAACAAAGUUUCUAUCUUGCCCUUCAAGAACAAAUGGAUUGCAAUGGACUAGGUGCAUGCAAAAAUAGCCCCCUCCCAAGGUGCGAAUGUUGCCGGAAGGAAGUGCCUUGUGCCAUAGGCCAAGUGAAGUAGUUCCAUGGAAGCAGAGCAAGUCAUCAUCAAAGUGUAAGGUUGCAGGAGAAUGAAGGUGUCAGCGAGGAGGCAGUGUGACAAAGGGAAACAGGAAAGAAGGUGAUUAAUUCUGCCUAAGUUCGACACGAUCCCAUGAGACGACCCUGCCAUCCAGAGAAGCACAAUCUUCAGCCUUCAAGACACUUUGGACUUUGACUAUUGAGUUUCUAAAUUUAAAAACUAAAUUGAGUGUCCUUAGAACCAAUUUAUCUUGAGGAGGAUAUCAUUUUUUGAGGAGUUAAAAGGGCAAUUAUUGUUUCUAGGUCAUUUGUUAAAAAUUGGCACACAAUAUAUUUUAAUGCUAUUUAGGUGCAUAUCUAUCAUGGAUUAUUAACUUUGAUCAUGUUUGUUGUCUUUGCUCCCUAGAGGUACAUAAGCUCUGAAGGAAAUAUCAAAUCCCAUCCAACAUUUUCACUGAAGAGAUCAUAACUUUCAAUCCAAAUUCUAUAAUUCAAUUGCAAUAUUAAAUUUGAAUACAUGAAAUUUAUGCAAUCAUUAUACAUAUCGUUUCUAAUAGUUGGACUGAUAGUUUGACAUAGGGCUAAUAAUGCUCCCCUGUUGUAACAAGAAUUUCCGGGUGCUUAUAUAUUAUGAGACUACUCUGCAGGCUUCAUUUGUUCUAUUCCUCUUUUUCCACGUGGCAACAGAGGCUGAAACAUAUAGAGGAAAAGAAGUACAUCGGCAAAUAAAAUAUGCUUAUAGGAGAGAAAAAACAAAUGUCUCCUAUGGGAUCUUGAUGAGGUAAUGUAUGUUAAGUUAUUCAGAAAAAAGCAAAUAAUAUGCAAAUGUGAAAAGUUAUUACACGUCAUGCCAACUCUUAGCUCCCAGCCCAAGCUUCCAACUGGAGCAAGUUCCCCAGGCUCUUAAUUUCCAUGAGGGAAACUCAGCAAAUUUAAAUAAUAUUAAUGAUAUAUUAAUGUAGUAAUGUGAUAACAAGGCACUUAGUAAUAAUGAAAUGGAUAUAUGCUAUUAAGAAACUUGAUUUCAUAUACACUUGUCAAUAUUUACAUUACAGGAUCAAUUCAAUUCAACAGAUAUUUAUUGAGUUGCAUCAGACACUGUGCUUGACGUUGUGACUUAACUAUAAAAGUAGGUGGUCCCUGUAUUUGUGGAGAUUACAGUCUGUUGAAGGUAGACAGAUAAUGAAGGUUGUAAUUAGGUAAUAACGACGUGAUGUGAUAACAUGGUUUUCUCAUUUAACAGAUUCACUCAUGAAUCACAACAUAAUUAUUGAGCCCUAACAAAAAUGCCAGUUCUCCUAACAGGCUCUAUAGAGAUAUAGCAUUGAAUGUAAAAGUCAGGGUCUCUGUAAAAGUCAGGGUCUCUGAUCUCGGAGAACUAGAUGUUCAAGGGAGUCACAGCAGUGCAAUAUAUGUUAGAGUUUCAGGAAGCCAUUUACAAAUAUUAGGCAAGUAAAUGUUAUGUUCCAAUUUUUAUUUUAUGUGCCUCCCUCUCUAAAAGAAAAUAUAAGAGACACAGAGUAAGAACCUAAGUUAUCACCUUGAUUCAGUAACAAGAGAUUGUAUUAGAGUUCCCUAGAGAAAAAGAAACAAUAAUAUAAAGAUGUACAUAUACGUCUAUAUACCUGUUAUAAGAAUUGGCUCAUACAACAAAGGAGGCCGAGAAGUCCUAUGAUUUACCAUCUGCAAGCUAUAGAACCAAGAAAGCUAGUGGUAUUUUUUAGUAGGAGUCCAAAGGCCUCAGAACCAGGAGCACUGAUGUCCAACGACAGGAGAAGGAAGACAAAAAUGGCGGGAAGAAGAAACAAAUGCAAAAUAUAGAAAACAGGUACAAGCAUGAUAUAAAUCCAACUGUAUUAAUAAUUACUUUAAAUGUGAAUGGUCUAAAUAUGCCAAUUACAAGACAGAGAUUGCCAGAGUGGAAAAAAAUAAAAAUCUACUGGAUUUAAAUGAAAAGACUCAGUUGAACAUAAAGGGAAGAAGAAUGAUGUAUCAUUGGCUAGAUACAAAUAGAUGUAUCUAGUCAAAAGCAAGCUGGAGGGCCGGGUGCAGUGGCUCAGCCCUGUUAUCCCAGCACUUUGCAGGGCAGAGGCGGGCGGAUCACAAGGUCAGAGAUUGAGACCAUCCUGGUUAACAUGGUGAAAUCCUGUCUCUACUAAAAAUACAAGAAAUUAGCUGGGCGUGGUGCCACACACCUGUAAUCCCAGCUACUUGGGAGGCUGAGGUAGGAGAAUCGCUUGAACCCAGAAGAUGGAGGUUGCAGUGAGCAGAAAUUGUGCCACUGCACUCCAGCCUGGAUGACACAGCAAGAUUCCGUCUCAAAAAAGAAAAAAAAAUCAAGCUGGAAUAGCAAUAUUAAUUUCAGAAAACACACAUCUCAGAACAAAGAAGAUGAGCAGGGAUAAAGAGGGAGAUUAAACAAUAAUAAAAGACUAAAUAAAAAACAAAAAUAAAAAAUAAAAUAAUAAUAAAAGAAUACAAUGGAACUAAACUAGAAAUUAAUAACAGAAAAAUUGUUGGAAAUCUCUAAAUAUACAGAAAAUUUAAAACAUGCUUAUAUAUAACCCAAGUAUCAAAGAAGUAGUAUCAAGAGAAAUUGAAAAAUAAUUUUGAACUAAAGAAAAAUGAAAACAGAACUUAUGAAAAUUUUUGGGAUGCAGCAACAGUAGUGCUUAGAGGGAAAUUUAUGGCUUCAAAUAUUUACAUAAGAAAAGAAGAAAGAUUUAAAAAAAAUCAAUCAUUUUAGCCUCCACCCAAGAGAACUAGAGAAAGAAGAGCAAUUUAGGCUUAAUGCAAGCAGGGGAAAAGAUAUAACAAAAUUAGAGCUGAAAUCAAUGAAAUUGGAACCAUAAAUUUCACAAAUGUAAUAGAAAAAUAAUCUCAGAAACCAGAAAUUGUUUUUUGAGAAGGUUUGUCAAAAAACCUUGAUGAAUCUCUAGCUGGGCUAACCAAGAAAAUAGAUUAAUUUUUCUCAUAAACAUGGAUGCACAAGUUCUCAAUGAAAUAUUAACAAAUUGAAUCCAGCAAUAUGUAAAAGGAAUUAUAAACUAUGACCAAGUGGCAUUUAUUUCAGUUAUACAAGAUUGGUUUCACACUUGAAAAUCAACCAAUAUAAUCUACUGUAUCAACAUGCUAAAGAAGAAAAAUUAUAUGAUUAUAUCAAUUACUGCUGAAAAAGCUUUUGACGAAAUCCACAUUCAUGAUAAAACUUUCAGCAAAAUACAAAUAGAGUAAAAUUUUCUCAGCUUGAAAAAGGAAUCUACAGUAACCUACAGUUAACAUUAUACUUAAUGGAGAGAUACAUUUUCUCUAAGAUAGAGAAAAAGGCAAUAUUGUCCUCUCUAACUGCUCCUAAACAACAUUGUACUGGAAGUCUAAGUUAAUACAGUAAGACAAGAAAAAACAAUUAAAAAUGUAUAAAAUGGAAAGGAAGAAACAAUUAUUUUUAUUCAGAUGACAUAAUUAUCUAUAUACAAAAGAAUCCCAAAUAAUCUACAAAAUAUUCCUAGAACUAAUGAGCAAAGUGGCAGGAUAAAAGAUUAACAUACAUAGCCAACCAAUUUUCUAUAUAUCAGCAAUGAGUGAUUGAAAUGAAAAAAUUUAAAAUACACCACUUAUGACAGCAGCAAAAAUGGAAUAUUUUGUUAUAAAUCUGAGAAUAUAUGUACAGAAUGUACAUAUAGGAAACUAUAAAACACUGAUGAAGGAAGUAAAGCAUAUAUAUAGAAAUGUUCCAUAUUCAUGAAUCAGAACAGUCAUUAUUGUUAAGAUGUCAAUUCUUCCCAGUUUAAUUUAUACAUUCAAUACAAUUCCAAUAAAAAUCCUAGCAAACUAUUUUUUGAUAUCAACUAACAAGUUGACUCUCAUUUUAUAUUGAAAGGCAGAAGACCAAGAAUAGCCAAUGUAAUCUUAAAAAAUAAAAAUAAAGUUGGAGGACUCACACUACCCAAUUUAAAAUUUAAAGACUCACUAUGAAGGUACAUUAAUAAAGGCAAUGUGGUGUUAGUGAAAGGAUGGACACAUGGAUCAACAGGACAAGACAAAGAACUGAUAAAUAGACCAACACAUGCAUAGCCAAGUGAUAUUUGACAAAGGAGUGAAAGCAAUCUGUCACUAGAGAAAGGAUAAUAUUUUCAGCAAAUGGAGCUGGAACAAUUAAAUGCCCAUAUAUAAAUAAAAAAUCCGGACAGAAACUACAUUUUCCAAAAAUUUGAAUCAAAAUGGGUCAUAAACUUAAGUGUAAAAUGCAAAACUAUAACAUUCCCAGAAGAAAACAGGAGAAAAUCUGUGUGAUCUGGAGUUUGGCAAUUUAUUUUUAGAUACAAUACAAAAAGCACACCUCAUGAAAACAAUUGAUACAUUUGACUUUAUUAAAGUUAAAAUCUUCUGCAUUGCAAAAAAACUAAGAGAAUGAAAAUCCAAGUCAUAAACUGGGAAAAAAAUGUUUGCAAAAUUUAUAUCUGAUAAAGAACUUGUAUCCAAAAUAUACAAAGAACUCUUUAAAUCCAACAAUAAGAAGACAACCCAAUUUAAAAAUAAGCAAAGAUCUUAAUAAACAUCUCACCAGAUAAGAUAUGCAGAUGGAAAAUAAACAUGAAAUGAUGCUCAACAUCAUUAGCCAUUAGAUAAUUGCAUAUUAUCACAACAAUGAGACACCAUUGCAUUCCUAUUAUGGUGGCCAGCCCUGUCAUCCUUUUCCAGUUGAAAAUACCAAUUGCUGGCAGGAAUGCAGAGCAACAAGAAGUUUAUUUUGUUGCUGGUAGAAAUGCAAGAGUACAGCCACAUAGGAAGAGAGUUUGGCAGUUUUUAACAAAGCUAAACAUUGCCAUAAAUACAACUCUGUAAUCCCGCUCCUAGGUAUUUACCCAACUGACGUGAAAACUGAUGUCCACAACAUGCAUGCGAAAGUUUAUAACACUGUCUUUCAUAAUUGCCAAAAAUUGGAAGCAACCAAGAUGUCCUUUAAUAUGUGAAUAGAUAAACAAACUGAAGUACAACUACACAAUAGAGUACUAUCAUUGAUAAGAGGUAAUGAGCUACGAAGACAUGCAGAAACAUGAGUGAAUAGUAAAUGCAUAUUGCUAAGUAGAAGAAGCCAGUCUUAAAAAGCUGUAUGAUUCCCUUUAUAGAAUAUUCUGGAAAAGGGGAAACUAUAAAGACAAUAAAUACAUCAAUGGUUGUUGGAGCUUUGGAGGAGGUGAGUUAAAUAGGUGGUGAGCAGAAGAUAUUUUAGGGUGGGAAACUAUUUUUUUGGUAGUGUCAUAAACAAUAUAUGACAGUAUGUAUUUGUCAAAACUCACAAAACUUUAUAACAAAAAGAGUUAGCCUUAAUGUUUGCCAAUUAAAAAAUUAUCUAAGUGACUGGUGGAUCUCAGGAUAAAAUGCGGAAUGUUGCAAAAGACUCCAAGUGUAUUAGAAAUGUAUAAAACAACCAUACCGCAUGGAGAGGGAGAAGGUGGGAUCUACAUAAUGUUGCAAAUAUGUGGAGUCUGGAAUACUAAUGGCAAAAGGAACUGUGCAGAAGAACUGCACUCUGGUUGGUAAAGGUUUUUCACAAUGGGUUAUGGAUCCACAAUUCUGAAAGCAGCAUACGUGCAUAGUGCUUUUGAACAAUUAGGUACUUAAAUGGUGAGUGGUGAAAGUCAACUUUCUCACUGCUGGAGUGGGAGGCUACAAGUAAGGAAGGGAAGAGACUACAAUGAUCCAUGUGGUGAUAAAUUAAAGUUGUGGGCAUUAGUUUGAAUAUAUGUUUAGCUUAAUAUAGAUACAGAAGGUUACAUACAGAAAAAUUUACAUGAGUUACAUGUAUAUACAUAGGUUAGCAAACACACAUACAUUUCCUUGCUGUCUCAGCUUAGACCCUCAGAGGGCCUAGGAGCCAUGAUUCCCCAGUACCCCAGUAGUAACAAGCAUACCUAGUGCCUAGAUCUUGGUUUCAAAUUAUAUUCUCAAAUAAAAGAAACUAGAGCUCAGUGAAGAAAUGACUUGAGUCUAGGAUUGGAACAUGAUAUACACAAGAUGAACCUAGAACAUCUUGUAGUGACAGAUAAGAAAAUGCUCACAAAAAAAGAAAAGAAAAAGAGAAAGAACCACCAUAUUGAAGACGUUUCAAAAGGACACUAGAGCUAAUUGAAGGAAUCCCCAAUGGUCAAAGCUGGAACAAUUUGAAUAACAAAAUAAACUAGUGAUGGAUAUGACCCAGAGUAUAAAAUGAAAAUCCAUUAAUCUAUACUGAUAUAAGUAAUUAAUUGACAAAUAAAUCGGAGAGAAUACAAAAAUCUGUGCAGAAGAGUUUCUGUGGAUGAUUUGCCCUAGAUAACUCUGUAUUCCUUAAGUGUGGGCUGCACACAGUGACUUCUUCCAAAGAGUGAAGUGGGAAAGGGAAAAAGAAGAGGAGUUUUAAGUAGAGAAACCUGAUGACACUACUUCAGCCAUGUAAUCAUCUUUCACAACUACAGUGACAGGUCAUGUUCAUAAUAUAUUCCCUUGAGGUGAUUUGAUGAGAGUGGCAUUUUCCCUCUGUGGUCUUCUUCCCAAAAUCAUAACUUGAAUUUAAUUUUGAAAAAAAAGAUCAGAUGAAUCUCAAUUAAGGGACUUUGUUUUUAAAAUACAUUAAAAAAUUUUUUUUUAAUUUUUUACUUGUCCCAAGAAAAAAAAUUGAGAAACUUUCUACAAAACACUUGGCCAAUACUUCUCAAAUUGUCUAGGUCAUCAAAAAUAAGAAAAGCUUGAGAAACUGUAAUACCCAGAGGGGCUUAUGGAGAAAUAAUGACCAAAUAUUAUAAGGUAUCUCAGAUGGGAUCACGAAAGAGAAAACGAGAACAUUAGAUAAAAACUAAGAAACUGAAAUCAACUAUGGCUUUUUAUUAAAGGUAUGCUAUUGAUAUACUAGGUCAUUAAAGGUGAUAAAUACAUUACAUUAUUGUAAGAUAAUGAUAACAGAAACUUGGUGUGUGGUAUAUAGGAACUCUGUACUAUAUAAGUUUUCUGUAAAUGUAAAAUUACCUUAAAAUAAAAAAGUGUAUUCAAUAUUUAAAAAGAAAAUUAGAAUUUUCUCUUUGGUAAAUACACACCUUACAAAUCUUUACACCAGAUAAUGGUUUUGGUUUUGACUCUCUACCUUCAUAAAAAAAGUUCUCAAUUGUAAUAUUGAGAAGAAUUAAUGUAUUAAUGCAUUAGACCCGAGGAAUAGAUUAGGAUCUUUUUUUUUUUUUUUUGGUACCACAAUUGGUAAUGAUCAUAUUACGUCUAACAAAAUACAUGAUUACAUUAGUCCAUUCAGUAUUCUUUUCUUAUAUAUAUAUAUAUAUGCUGGGUGUUGGACUUGGUGGUUGUCCUGCAAGGGUUCACAGUCUUGUUGAAGAUAUACAUAUUAAUCCAACAAUUUACCUUCAAUUUAUUGUGGACUUAAGGUAAUGGGCUGGGUGUGGUGGCUCACACCCGUAAUCCCAGCACCUGGGAGGCCAAGGCGGGUGGAUCGUGAGGUCAGGAGAUGGAGACCAUCUUGACUAACACGGUCAAACCCCAUCUCUACUAAAAAUACAAAAAAUUAGCUGGACUUGGUGGCACGUGCCUGUAGUCCCAGCUACUCAGGAGGCUGAGGCAAAAGAAUCACUUGAACCCGGGAGGUGGAGGUUGCAGUGAGCCAAGAUAGCGCCACAGAAAAAAAAAAAAAAAAAGAUAAUGAAACCCACUGGUACCUUCAAAGACUUUAUAUGAAAAAUAAACCCUAAUAAGUAAUUAUUGCACAUGGUGAUUGGUGUUAGGGCAAAACCAUGAUAGGAGAUAAACUUGUGUUGGGUCAAAGAAGGUCUCCCCAAGUAGAUAAUUGAUUGAGGGAAACUUUCAAGGACUAGCCAACUGUAGCCAUUUUCUUCCUGUAGGCAGGAAGAUGUAAUAGUGUUGCAGGGCAGGUGAGCCUCAAAAUUGGGGCUUAUCCCGAGAGGGCUUUUGGUUUUGUUCAAGAAAGAAUUAAAGAGUGAGCUAUGUUGGCAGAACAAAACAGCUUUAUUAAGACAGGAGUAUUACAUCUCUGUGACUGUUUCUGCAGAACAGGGCUACCCCACAGGCAGUGUGUCCAGAGUAGCAGCUCAGGGGCAGUUCCGCAGUAAUAUUUAUACCUACUUUUAAUCAUAUGCAAAUUAAGGGACUGAUUAUACAGAAAUUUCUAGACAAUGGGUGGCAACUUUUUGGUAAUUGACUUGGAAGGGGGCGGCAACUUCUGAGUGUUGCCAUGGCAAUGGUAAACAGUCCUGGCACUGGCAAGCAAGUCUUAUGGAGAGGUACGUUCGCCUCUUCCCUGUUUCAACUAGUCUUCAAUCUGGUCCAGAGUUGAAUCCAACCUCUGGAGUUGAGUCCUGCCUCCUAUUUCAAUAGCAGAUACAAAAGCAUAGCGAGAAAGCAGAGAGAACAGGACAUGUUUGGAAACUAUGCCAUGAUGCUUAGAGAAUGAAUGAAGGAGAGGGUACUGAGAAGGAAGGGAGAAGGACACAACUAGAGAUGCAGGAUGCAGCCAGGGUCAGGUCCUGCUAAUUCCUGAGUACCAUGGCAGUUAUCAAUCCUUGUCCACAGUAAUUAAUAAUAAAAAUUCAAGGCAUUGAUGUAAUUUGGCAUCAAAGAGCUAAUUAUUGGCUCUCAUCAUUAUGUAUUAGAGUCAUAGCUGAUCAGAAGUUCCAGGGAGAAGCAUAAAGUCAUCAAAAGCAGUCAGCUGAAUCUGGCAAAAUGAAAGUGAUUGUUGCAAUAUUUUUGGAUUCAGUUCAGAGUUUAAAUCUUUUACAUCUGUGCCUCCAACCGAUUCAUUUUAGAAUUGGUUCUGAGAAUAAAUUGACUGGCUUGUAGAAUUUCCAUAGUUCAAGGACUUGUUGCUAAAGUGGAAACAAGUCAAGUUUGAAGAAUGACCUAUUGCAUCUGGUGUGUUGAUGACUUCCUCUAACUGCAAAUAAUGUAGGGAAAAAAAGAGCAACUGAACGUUUCCUGUCUGCAGAAAAGUAUCUGGAAGUAACGCAUUCAUCAUUUCCUUUGGAUUUCAAUAGAUUUGCAUUUGCACUAUCUUUGUUGCACAUAGACUGAAACACCUGAUAUUUUUGCGUUCAACCACACAUUAUUAUUUGUUGGUGGGUUAUUUAUUGUCAUUUUAUAGACUAGAAAAGUAAAUACUAGAAUUAAAUUCUAAAGCCCUGGAUUUAGAAUGUAAGACCAACAAAGAAUUGUGCCUACCACACAUUCCUAAGGUCAUUUCUCUAUUGCUUUUUCACUUUCAAUGCAAGUUCAGAGCAGCGUUUUUUUAUAAAGGCAUUAAUUGCUAUAUGAGGGUUCAAAUUCAAUGUUGUGCUACCCUAACUUAAUGCUUAUUUGAUUCAGUUUAUUUCAAUUUGUUUGCUGUUUUCCACACUCUGCUGGCAGAGCCAUUUAGAAGCUAAGAUUUGUUGUUGCCGUUGUUGUUGUUGAGACGGAAUCUCAUUCUGUCGUCCAGGCUGGAGUGAAGUGGGGCAAUCUUGGCUUACUGCAACCUUCGCCUUUGGGAUUCAAGUGAUUCACUUGCCUCAGCCUCCCAAGUAGCUGGGAUUACAUGUGUGCACCAGGGCGCCCAGCUAAUUUCUGUAUUUUUAGUAUAGAAGGGGUUUUACCAUAUUGGCCAGGCUGGUCUCGAACUCCUGACCUCUGGUGAUCCACCCGCCUAGGCCUCCCAAAGUGCUGCCGUGAGCCACUGUGCCUGGACUGGAGGCUAAGUUUUAUAGGAGAAAUUCACCUUGACUCUUAGUAACUGUUUCCACUGGCAGUACAUUUCUUAAGGUUCUUUUCUUCUGAGAUCUGCCCUUUUUGUCCCUGAUAAAUGACCCUUAAAUAGGGAGAGACUCCACUGGAGCUGUCGGUUGAACUCUGCUCCAUCUGCAGGGUGCACCCAGGCACUAAUCACACACUACUUUAUCCCUGGAGUGUCACAGUAUCAGCAACUCUGUAUUCAUCUGUGAAUAAAAAUAGUUUUUCUUUAUGUUUCAGAGGAUAAACAUUGAGGCAGCUUUGGGAUAGAGUCAUUACAUACAUCUUUUUACUCAAUAGGUGUAUAUUUUGUGCCUACCAAGCAAGUGCAGGAAACUAAAUGCAAGAGUCUUUUCCUUGAGAUACUUCCUUCCUUCUCCUAUAACCUCAACACAGAAAGUUAAAAAGUCCACUGGGUGGGAAUUAAAGAGAUAUUUAGCUGCUGAAAGUGCUUUUGGCAUCUACAAAUCAUUCUGGUUUUGUGGUGUCUGUUGCCUAUCCUGUUUACGUGAACAUUGAUGAAAGAACAAAACUAAGUCAGUCUUUCUUCAUCUUUCUUCUCGAAUUCUUUAGAGUAGGCAACCAUUAUCUGCUAAAAUAGCUUUUUAGUCAUACUCAUGUCUGUGUAGUGAAAAUAUUUCCCCCCUAAAUGAAAUAGAGUUCCCUCCUAAAUUUGCGUAGAGUCACAACCAGCUCUUAUUUCUUGCUCAUGUCUAGGUUACUGGGCAGCUGUCUUUUCAUCAAUAAUUCAGGACUCAGGCAUUGGUGAGCUGAAGGAGAAAAAUCAUGGAGAUUUAGAAAAGUCUUUGUGGGGCUAGAAGCACUUCUGCUCAUAUUCUACUAGUUGGAAGUGGGUCAGAACUCAUUUGUCUAGCCACAAGAGCUACGGGAGAGGCUGUACAAUGUAGUCCAGUUUGUGCCUAAGAAAAAGAGCAACAGGAAUUGAUCUCUGCUGUGCCUCUUGCUUUUCUAUCAGCAGUUGGGUGGGAGUGAAGUGAACAUCAGGUUCCAGGAAUCUCCUGAGCACCCACUGCACCUCAGCACUUCUGACUGCCUGUGGUGUUGCCUCCUGUGGGGGCAGCAAGAUUACACCUCACAAAGGGUUUAUGCUUUCCUGGAAAUAUUCACUUUCAUUGAAGUGAACCCACUAUCUUCUAUGGGCUAAAAAGCUAGAUGGAGGCACAGACAGUGCAUCCAAGCCCAACUGAUAGAACCUUCCACUCUUCUAUUCAUGGCACAGAAUAGCCAUGCGUUGUUUAUCAUUGUCUGCAUAACUCCAGAUGAGGAGAAUGAAGGAAGGAGAGCAGUGUGGAAGUAUUCACUCUACAUGAGACAUUUUCUCGGUGCUACACAUACAUCAUUUCAUUUAACUCUCACAACCAUGUUGGACUUAAGCACUAUCCUUGCUUUUUAAACGACACAACUGCAACUGAUCCUUAGCAGAUUUAAAUAAGUCACUCAAGGUUAUGCAGGUAGUGAAUAGAAAAGGCAAGAUUUUAAUCUAGAUUUUUCUGAUUUUUUAAGCUGUUUCUUUAAUCGCUUUGUCACCAUCUUAUCAUACUGCCUCUUCACUGAGAUUCCAUGAGUGACAACAUUUGACAUCUGUCCUUCACAUAGUAGACACUUGACGUAUCUCUAUGGAGAAAUGUCUGAUGUGGGUGACUUCUUUGAGUAUACAUUGCUCUUGGUCAAAUUUGAGAACUAUUUUACUAAUUGUGUUUAACACGGGGGAGCCAUCCUAUACACACCAGUAUUCUUUCUCUUUUGGUCAUUGUCUUCUUUCACAGUCAUUAUUUCUAAAAUCUGCUCAGAAAUUUUCAUUUUUUUUUUCAAGUAAUGGUUUGGGCUGACUUAUUCUCAUUCAUUAGUCAUUUCUUCAUUUAUUUAACAAUUAUACUUUUUAAGAACCUACUGUGGGUAAGCAUUCUGCUUGGUGCUGGGAAUAAGAGAGAAGAUAUAAAGAUAAUUGUGACUUGAUUAUUCAUCCAUGAGGGAAUCUCUGGAGUUUUGAUUUGGAGAAAAGAUCAUCAAAUACUUAAAGCAGAAAGUUAUAUGCCCUUAUAAUGCAACCACAGUCACAAAAGUGUUGGUUUUGCAUCUUGUGAAUAUUGCAAGAUAAUGAAUUGCCUAGGAAUGCAUAUUUUUUAAACUUUUAUUGUAAGUUCAGGGGUACAUGCGUAGGUUACAUAGGUAAACUUAAUGUCAUGGGGGUUUGUCGUACAGGUUAUUUUGUCACCCACGUGUUAAGGCUAGUAUCCAUUAAUAUUUUUCUUGAUCCUUUUCCUCCUCCCACCCUCCACGCCCCACCAUUUUCCCCAGCAUGUGUUGUUCCCCUGUAUGCGUCCAUGUGUUCUCAUCAUUUAGUUCCCAUGUAUAAGUGAGAACAUGGUAUUUGGUUUUCUGAAAUUUUGGGCAUUGGCGUGAAAGUCUGAUUUAUUUUAUGCUUAAGGCGUUAAGUGUUUUCACUGCUUUUUCUUCACCUCCUCACUUUUAUUUUUGGAUUUACUCUUUGUUCACAUUAAACCACUAUAUUUACAUCUCAGACAUUUGAAAUCUUAACAACACAAAUUCAGUAAUAUCAGAGGACAUUUUGGUAUUGCCAAUCACUUCUUCAGAAGAUCUCUUUACCUAUGAACUCCAGCCAAGAUUUCCUGUCAUCAGAACUCUCAACACAUUUCUCUCUGUAUACGCUGCAUCUAAAGAGGCUGCACUGCAAAGCUGACUAAACAAAAGUUUAUGGCACUCGUUCCAACUUUACCACUGACUAGUUGUGUGAACUUCGGACGGUUGACCUCUUUCGGCCUCAAUUUCCGAGGCAAUUAAUAAAAUCAGAAAUUCCAUUCAUCGUUCUGGAUUGUUCCACUUAGGAAUUUUGACUAGUUUUUUUCUGUGUUUUAUAAAAAUUUAAACACAUAGCAAUAAACAUGGAAACUCACCCAAACCUAAGAUGUUACGCAUAUUGACUAUUUUUAAUGGGAGAAUUCUACAGCAAAAUCUUCAUGAUGCAGAGAAUUAGGAAACCACAUCAAAUACGUGUUUUGGUGAAGUCUUCAGAUGCAUUAUUCAACCUCUUUGGCUCAAUUUUCAUCAUGUGAAAUAAAGAGAGUAAACUGGAGGUUAUCUGAAUCUUCAGAAUUCAGUGCUUUGAGAUAUUAUAUCAACUUAGGUUGUUGAAAUUGAUGUGACAGUUUAACAACUCCUAUCCAAAUGGGUCACGUGUUUCUAUUUAAAAAGAUAUAAACCUUCUUCCAUAAAAAUCUUUUUUUUGAGAACACAUGAACAUAGGGAGGGGAGGAACACACACUGGGGCCUGUCAGGGGUGGGAAUCGGGGGAGGAGAGCCUCAGGAUAAAUAGCUAACGCAUGCUGGGCUUCACACCUAGGUGAUGUGUUGGUAGGUGCGGCAAACCACCAUGACACAUGUUUACCUACGUAACAAACCUACACGUCCUGCACAUGUAACCCAGAACUUAAAGUUAAAUCAAAUUAAAAUUUAACAGUAGAAACAAAGUCUUUUUUUAAAAAUUGAGAAAAUCAGUUGAGAAUUUAGCAGGAAUAUGGAAUGAAAUGUAAAUGUUUUUGCUGUUUUCUCAAUUAAUUCUCAUGAUUUUCCUGAAUUAUAUCUAGAUAGAUAACAAAAGCAUACAGAUAUCAGUAUAUUUAAGUAACUUUAACUAUGAAAAUUCAAAGUGAACAAACAUAAUUAUGGAAAUAAUUUUCUCACUUAAAAGAGCAUUUUCUUGGAGUUAGUUGUUACCCAUGUUUUUUCUUAUUUUGUCAGAGAAUUUUGGGAAGUAGCAAAAUGUAAAACUACAACUGAAACAUGACUAUCAUUGUCUAAAAAUCAGGGUAAGUCCCAUCCAGUGUGUUGUAGAUAUUUUUUUCAUUGAUUUUAAUCUAAACACAUUAAUUCUCUUUUAAAAUUAAGCAUUUUCCCACAAACUCAAAGGUCACCAGAGAAUUUGUUCAAGACUUAAAAAAAAGUUCUAUUUGUGUUUUAGAUUCAGGCAGAACAUGUAUAGGUUUGUUACCUGGGUAUAUUGUGUGAUGCUGAGGUUUGGAGUAUGAUUGAUCCUAUCAUCAAGGUAGACCAUAAUAUUCAACAGGUAGUUUUAUAGCCCUUUCCUUUUCCCUCCCUCCCCCUCUGUUAGUCCUCAGUGGCCAUUGUUCCCAUCUCUACAUCUGUGUGUACCCAAUGUUUAGCUCCCACGUAUAAGUGAGAAUAUUGGUAUUUGGUUUUCUGUUCCUGCAUUAAUUUGCUUAGGAUAAUGGCCUCUGGCUGCAUCCAUGUUACUGCAAAACAUGAUUUCACUCUUUUGUAGGGUUGUGUCAUAUUCCAUGGUGUAUAUAUACCACACCACAUUUUCUUUAUUCAGUCCACCACUGAGAGUCACCUAGGUUGAUUCCAUGACUUUGCUAUUGUGACUAGUGCGGCAAUGAACAUAUGCAUGAAUGUAUCUUUUUGGUAGAAUGAUUUAUAUUUCUUUGGGUACACACCCCGUAAUGAGAUGGCUAGGUCAAACGGUAGCUCUGAUUUUAGUUCUUUGAGAAAUCUCCAAACUGCUUUUCACAGUGGGCUGAGCUAAUUUACAUUUCUAACAACAGUGUAUAAGUGUUCCCUUUUCUCCGCAGCCUCGCCAGUAUCUGUUAUUUUUUUACUUUUUACCAACAGCCAUUCUGACUGAUGUGACAUGAUGUCUCACUGUGGUUUCGAUUUGCAUUUCUCUGAUGAUCAGUGAUGUGAGCUUCUUUAUUUACGUUUGUUGGCUGCUUGUAUGUCUUUUUUUGGGAAGUAUCUGUGACUUCUUUUGCAUUAAUAAUCUGUAUAGGUUAAGUAAGAGCAAUCUUCAAUAGUUAACUGAAUAUCAUAUUAAUGAUCUGCUUCAUUUUGAGUAAACUAGUGCUUCUAUUCCAGAAAGUGGUAUAAAAAAAACCUGGUGAAUAUAAUAUAAUAUAAUAAAUAUAAUACUUUCUGUAUAUAAUGUGCCCGACUGAAAAAUUUAUGAUUAUAUUUUCCAAGUAAAUUACUAGAUUUGCACAGCUAGGUUUAAAAGAGAAAAAGGUCAGCAAAAAAGGUGGGGUGGGUUAUGGUAAUUUCCAUACACCACACCCCAAACUGGCAAAGGUAUAUCACAAUUAAUCAUCUUAUGACGUUAGAAGAGUGUCUGUUUCCACCCGAGUUACACAUUGGCAGAGAUAUGCAUGCAUUGAAUUCUGCUACACUUUAAACAAAGGAUACAAAUUGCUAAGGAAAGGACAGUCUCAGCCAGCAAUAUCAAUUCUCAGAACCAGAAGAGAAAGUAAGAUCUUUUCACAUGCUUUCCGUUCUUUCCGUUGCAUUUUGCAUUCUUCUUAUCCAUUCUAUUUCCUUUCCCACCCCUCCUAGGCCUCUAUCGAUUAAGGUUGUACUGUUCCACUGCUUUCCACCAGGGUCCAGUGGCUACAUCCCUCUCCUUGUCAAAAUCUGCUUUAAAGAAAGCCUCUGAUAAUCUUUCCCCCACUCCCCGGCCCUUGGGUAGAGCAAUAAUUUAAAGUAUUGCCAUACCCAGAAGAGUUGCAUUUUAACAGGAAUCAAAUGCCUUGGGGUAAGAAAUGAAACUCUUCUUAUAUAAUUUCAGGCAUCAGUAAGCAGAUGGGACAUUUAUCUGAGGGGUUUUCCUAGUCUCUGGAACUCUGUGGGACUUCUCCAAUCCCAUCUAUGUAGAAAGUUAUUCCAGACAUUGCUAAUGUUACCAUCAUCUGCAUCAUGUUUUAUACUCUAACACGUCGCUAACUUCAGAAAACUCAGCUUCCCUGUAUACCAGCCUUAUGCUGGACAAUGUGCAUCAAGUUCCCAUAUGAAACUCUUCUACAACUGCCUUCCCCAGAUUUAUUUAGACAUUUCAAUGCUGACCCAUUUUUAUUGUUUUACUGUAUCUACCCUUAAAUAGAAGAAUCAGUGACAGGCAGGAGAGAAACAUAAACUUGGGAAGGAGAAGAAAAGGAAAAAACUGGAAUAACCUAUAAAGAAUACAACAAAACAAUGUAGAGUACAGAGAACAUUAUCUUUCAAGCUGAUUUACAGGUACCAUUCAGUUCAUUUAGGCUAUAUCACUUACGGUAGUGGAUUCUUUGAAUCAGAUAAUAGUCUCAAUCUGUCACUUCCCUGUUCCUUGCAUAGAUAAUACCUCUGAGUCAUACUCCCUAGAGCAUAGUUAAUUGAUAAAAGGGUGCUUUUAGGACACACCAAAGUCCAAAAACAAAAAAAUAGCAAAUCAACAUCAAGGCAGCUAACUAGAAAGGAAAAGGAGAAUCGUAACUGGUUGCAUGAUUUGAUUGCUAAUCUCAUCAUUGGGAACACCUUCAUGAUGAUGUAACCAUAUUACAUAGUUCUACUAUGUAUUGGCAGAGUCAAUAUGAUUGUAAUUGCUGAAAUGAAUGUAUGCUGCUUCAGUUCACUUAAUUAGACAGACAUCCUUUGGCUGACUAUAGUUUAUUUGCUGUGACCACCACUGCUCUAAGUGAAAAAUCUUAUUUCUGGGUUAAAUUCUAGACUAUAUCCUACCUGGCCUUUACUUCCUUUGAGUCUCUCCACUAUAGUAGGCUCUACACAACAGUUACCACUUUAAUCUUCCGAGAAGUGAUGGCCAUUGUGUCAUAUUCCUUUCCCCCAAAUAUUUUAUAGUUAUCUGAUUUCUAAAAGAUAAAGACAAAAUCCUUUAGUUUAUCACUCAGUACUUUGUAGUCUAAAUCUACCUACUUUUCAACCUAAUUUCUCAUGAAUCUCCUGCAUUAAUCCUCCACUUUAUUCUGGGUUUUUACCCAUUUGUCUCCCAAUUCCCCUAGAAUUGAGUUAAGGUGGAGUCUCACUCUGUCACCCAGGCUGGAGUACAAUGGCAUGGCAUGGUCUCGGCUUACUGCAACCUCCACCUCCCAGGUUCAAGCAAUUCUCCUGCCUCAUCCUACAGAGUAGCUGGGACUACAGGCAUGUGCCACCACGCCCGGCUAAUUUUUGUAUUUUUAGUAGAGACGGGGUUUCACUAUGUUGGCCAGGCUGGUCUCGAACUCCUGACCUCAUGAUCCACCCGCCUUGGCCUCCCAAAGUGCUGGGAUUACAGGUGUGAGCCACCGCGCCCAGCCUGAUUCUGCUGCUUUCUAGUUAUAUGACCUUGCAUAAGUUACUUGACAUCUUUGUACUCAGUUUACUCAUCUGUAAAAUAAAAUAGCUAUAUCUUGUAUCUCCUAGAAUUUUUAUGAAGAUUAUAAUUUUAAACUUGAUCAAUAUUCAGAUUAAUACUUUGCUAUUAUGAAUCAUUUUAAAUUUGUUAUUAAAUAACAAAAUAAAGCAGAUAGCUAUUAUUUCACUGAAUUCUAAGUACCACGAGAGUGACUUACCGCAUAUAUUUUGCUAUAUCUCCUGAAUUCAGAAGAGUUCAUGGCACUUUCAAGACAAUAAAUGCUUGUUGAAUAAUAAUAGUAAUUAUUAUGCAUCUUAUUUUGGGCUCUAAUUAUUAUUACUCUUCUGACAGAGGCAUGCAUAAAUGUUACAAGUGUGGCCAGAGUGAUACUCUACCUAAAUUGUCUACAUUUACAAGCCUUGUUUUUUGAGUAUAUUGUAUGAGAAAGUUAAAAAGUCAAUGCUUCUCAUUACACUAAAUUCACUUUUCUGCCUCACGGACAUUUGGUAAACCAUGGCACCUACAUAUUUACACCUAUAGACGUCUGUAAAUUGUUUAAGUUACCCAACAAUGAAUAGAUAAUUUUAAAAUAAUAAUACCAGGUUCAUGUGUUUACUUACUUGUGACCAAUUAAUUAAAAUUUUAUAUCUUGUCAUCUUAUAACAAAUGAUCACUGAUCCUAUGAAACAGUUUCAAAAUGGGGCUUUGAAUAAAGACUAUUUAUGACGAGUCCAGAGUGUGAACUUUACAGAGAGUAAUGCUUAUGUGGAGUCUUUUAUUUGUGGUAAGAAAUGAUUUAAUUUUUUAAAAAAUUAUCCUUGAAUCCCCACUGCUCGAAAUUACUUCUGUUUAUGUACAGAGAGUUGAGCUAGUGGAGGAAAAGGCAUAUAAAUUAAUGGGGUCCUUUCCUCCACUUGAGUACAACAAAGCUUCAAGAUCGAGGAUGUGAUAGGAACCACGGCCAAAUAACGCUUACAAACUUUAACAAUCAAACGAAUCCCUCUUAGCAAGGGGAGAAAAUAUAAAACAUGAACUGCUGCUUGACACAGAACCUGGGCUAGGAGGUGAACAGGCUGUAAAGACUUGUUCCAUUGAUUCAGUUACUUGGUUUUACUUUUAGAAUUCAAGAAAUAAGGGUAUUUAUCUCAAGAAAAAGGGCUCUGGUCUCCAUCCCACUUCAUAUUUUAUUUUAAAUGGAGAAGUUCAUAUUAAGCAAAUGCUUUGGAAAACAGGUAAAUAUGGUCAAGCCCCUAAGAGUAACUCUAUGUGUUUUUCUCACCAAUAUGUCCUCAGUUCUAGAGCAGUUUUUGACACAUAAUUGGGGAAUUGGUAAUAAUUUGUUGAAUGUUUCAAGUCUUUCUUAUGAAGAUAUCCUAGACUUUAGAUAGUCAACAAAUAAAUAAAUUGAUUGACCAAUUAUUUACAGUUUGCUUCAUUGUCUUAGCAUCCUAUAUCGAUAUUUUUAAUUCUCAGAACCCUUUUAAGAAUUGAGAUGAAAGUGUGUUGAUGACCUUCUAUCCCUAAAUAUUCCAGUGUGUAUUAUUAAAAAUAAGAGCACUCUCCAAUAUCACCACUACAUGAAUUAGGAAAUUUAACAUUGCUAAUGUUAAAUAUAUAACACAUUGUCUAAUCCACAGUCUAUAUUCAAAGUCUUUAAUUGUCCUAAUAAUUCUUUGUUUUUUGAGACAAGAGUCUCACUCUGUCACCUAGGCUGGAGUGACACCCCGUCUGCCAUGGCACGACUGUGGCUCACUGCAGCCUCAAACUCCUGGGCUCAAGCCAUCCUCCCACCCCAACCUUCCAAGUAGCUGGAACUACAGGCAUACACCAGCACACCUGGCUAAUUUUUGCAGUUUUUGGAGACAUGAGGUUUCACUAUGUUCCCCAGGCUGGUCUGGAACUCCUGGGCUCAAGCGAUCCACCCAUCUUGGCCUCUCAAAGUGCUAAGAUUAUAGGCGUGAACCAACAUGCCUGGACAAUAAUAUUUUUAAUAAGAUCCAGUCCAGAAUCACACAUUGCAUUUAGUUUCAUGAGAUUUUAGUUUCAUGUAGUCUUGAACAAUUUCUCAGUCUUUGUCUUUCUGGGCCUUGGCGUUUUUGGAGAUUGUUCAAUUAUUUUUGUAUAAGGCACUCCGAUUUCAGUUUGUCUGAUGUUUCUUCAUGAUAUGAUUCAAAUUAUGCAGUUUUUGGGAAGAGGACAGGAAUACCACAAAUGUGAUGUGGUGUCCUUCUCGGUAUGUUAUUUCAGGAGGCACUUGAAUUUGGUUUGCUAUUACUGAUGACUUUAGUUGUAGUUGCUUGAUAAAUGUGCUGUCCACUCGGUUUCUCAACCAUAGUCUCUAUUUUCCUCUUUGUAUGUAUUUGUGAGAAGACACUCAGAGACUGUGAGGGGAGACUGUGAGACUAAUGUGUGUUUCUGAGGGGAUGCUCUAAGACUGUGCAAAUAUCCUCUUCUUCACCAAACUUUGAACUACUGGUUUUAGCAUAUUCAUUGAUGAUUUUCUAACUCUAUCACUGUAUCCCAGAUUAUUGAUUAUAAGCAGAGUUUUAAAGAGAUAUUUUCAAGAUAUUUUCAACUAUGUAUAAUGAAAAAUUUAAAAAGCCAUAUUAGAGAUAAGUGGAUGCAUAGAUUAGAGCCACAGAGAUUAGAAAAAUGAACAUCAUUUUAACUCUGGGGGACUUUUUUUUUUUCCAGCAAUGAGAUUCUUUCUCUUUAGCCACGGCACCAAACUCUGAACCGGCUGAGCCUGGUUAGCCCUUGAUUCAUUGUAUAAGUUGACCCCCCUAAAACAAGAAAAACGAUGAAGAUGAACAACCUGAACUGGACUCCUGCCAAGUCCACAAACCGAUUUUGCAAGUGAGAUGACUCAUCGCCAGAAGAAUUGUAGACCUAUUGACCUUAGCAUUUAUUUAUUUUUUAUAUUUUGAGACAGGGUCUUGCUCUGUCACCCAGGUGGAGUGCAGAGAUGCAAUAAUAGCUCACCUCAGCCUCCCGAGCUCAAGUGAUCCUCCCACCUCAGUCUCCCCUGUAGCUGGGAACCACAGGUGCCACCACUACACCCUGCUUAUUAUCUUUUUAAAUUUUUUUUUGUACAGAUAGAGUCUCACUAUAUUGCCUAGGCUGACAGAGUAUUUUUUUCCUUAAUUAUUCUUUAUUCUCAAAUGCAGUGAACAGUCACAGUAGCCCACCAUAGGGGGUUCAUUUUCAGACAUUACAGUAACUAGGGGAAUUUUAUUAAGGAGCCAGCAGCUAAACCAUUAUUGUUAUUAUUCUUCUUCUUUAAACCAAACUACAGACUUAUUCAGAUUUCAUCAGUCUUCCCAUCAGUGCUGUCUUUCUGGUCCAUGAUCCAAUGUAGGAUUCCACAUCACAGUUAGUUUUUAUCACUCUAUGUCCUCUCCCACUCUGUGAUGGUUCCUCAGUAUCUCUUUGUCUUCCAGGACCUGACACUUUUGAAGAGUAUUGGACAGCUAUUUUGAAGAAUGUCCUGCAAUUCUGCCUAAUGUGUUUCAAUGAAUAAAUGUUACACGUGCAUUGUUGGCCAAGAGUACCACAGAAAUGAUAAGCCCUUCUUAGUGUAUCAAAUCAGGUAGUGUGGGAUGUCAAUAUGUCUUAUUACUGGUGAUUUUAAUCUUGAUCACUUGGCUGAGAUGGCAUCUUCCAGGUGUUUCCAUUUUUAAAAUUACUAUUUUUCCUUUAGCAAUGAAUGGGUAUCUUGAGGGUGAUAAUUUUGCACUAGGCACAUAUAAUCUUUCUCCUCAAAGUUUUACCCAUGAAUUUUGGCUUUCAUUGGCACAUCUUGCCUGCAACAAUUAUUACUGUGGUAUCCUAUUGGUGAAUUCAUAUUUCCAUCUUCUUUCUACAUUUAUUCAUUGGGAGAGCUGUUAUUUCCCAUUCAUUCAUUCAUUCAUUCAUCCAUUUCUUUAUGUCAUAGACUCAUAGAGGCUUAUUGUAUUCUCUUGGUAAAAAUAAUCUAUUAAUUUUUUUAUAUUAUACUUUAAGUUUUAGGGUACAUGUGCACAACA